UUGCUGAACUAAACCAUUAAGCUUUUCAUUAAAAUUCUACACACAUUUAUGCUUGUUUUUUAACAGCAAUUCUGCAGAUAUGUUUGUAUAGGCCUUAUUGAAUCUUUUAUAAAUGGAAGAAAGCGGGAGAUCUCGGGUUCGGUCGACGGUUUCAUGGCAUCUAAACUCAGGGAACUCGGGCCAUCUGAAUACAACCCUUAUUUGAUUAUGAGGUUUGUAACUUUGUAUCAAUGACCAUAGAUAGGCAUGACAUGGAGAAAGAAAAGCUCUUUAUUCUGAUGUCAUCAGUUCUACACAAAUCAAGCAAGGGUGUGGAUUUUGUUGAUUUUUUAAUAGAUGUAGAUGAAGUUUUACGCAAUUUGCGAUCCAGGUUUAUUUUUUGUUUAAAUGCAGUUAAAUAAUUCAUGUGCUUUUGAGCAAUUUUAUGAUAUAAUUAGUGAUCUAUGUAUGAUGUUGGGAGAUAAACUUCAAACACAGGUAACUAACCAUGAGUUUUUUCGAUCAUAAACAUUGUAAAUUUGUAAUU